UACGUAGGGGGCAAGCGUUGUCCGGAAUCAUUGGGCGUAAAGCGCGUGUAGGCGGCCAGGUAAGUCCGUUCUGAAAGCCCGGGGCUCAACCCCGGGAGGCGGAUGGAUAAUGCUUGGCUCGAGUCCGGAAGAGGCGAGUGGAAUUCCCGGUGUAGCGGUGAAAUGCGCAGAUAUCGGGAGGAACACCAAUGGCGAAGGCAGCUCGCUGGGACGGUACUGACGCUGAGACGCGAAAGCGUGGGGAGCAAACAGG
rnacentral:rRNA from 1 species